CCUGGUAUUAUAUAAUGAGAGGAAGGUUGUUUCAGGAUGUCACUCUGAAUUCUUCCACUUCUAGAGAAAAUUGAAAACUGGCUAAACGCUAGCCGCUGCGCGAAAGAAGCUAUAGACUCUGCACAAUCGGCGCAGAUCAACGCAAGUGAUGCUUGGUUUCCUGAGGAGGCAGCUGCUCAUUGUGGGCAUCGUUGCGUUUGCUCUCCUUGCCGUUGGGCAGACCAAAGCAAGUGAAGAGCCCAUCCCUACCGGAGAAACGGAAGAACGUUGCGGCAUCGUGAGCUUCCUCUGGGACAUGCUCCGUAACGGGGCUGGCAAAUUCAUGGAAGGCGGCCAAAGUAGCCCGAGUGGCACAGAAACAGAAGGCGUUGAAUAAUCUGCACAAUUCAUUCCUUGAUGCUAGGCUAGAUGAAUAGGCAAGACACUGUCUUGGAAAAGGUGGAUGUUCAUAAACAAACAGGUUGAAACGUUGAUGUCUAAAUAUAUAUUUUGGAGAACA